rnacentral:lncRNA from 1 species
CCAGCCUGCAUCACAGCAUGGCCACGUGACAGCAGAGUUCUGACACUGAUCUACACUGAGGUGAUAUGACAAUGAGCCAUCUAUUUUGUCUUAGAGAAUACAGCUUGGAAGAUUUAAUUCAUUCUGGGAACCAUUUAAAUUCCAGUGUUUCCCUUGAAAGAAAUGUAAUUAUUACUGGUAUCAACGUAGGCCAAGUUUUAGUUGUGUGGUGUUUUUAUUUUCUGUUUUGAUUUGUUUCAUACUUUGUUUUCACUCUAAGACUUUCAGUUUAAAGUUGAAAGAAUUACCUAUUCUUCCAGCGUUUUUUCUGGACAUCAAUAAAACAUCAGAGACCUUUUUAAGGGUGAACUUCCCCCAUGGUAAAAUACAAAAACAACAAAAAUAAACACCUGAUUACAAAGUUGUGGAAAAGGAAAAAAAAAAAAAAAACUUUUAUUUCCAGCUAUACAAAACAUCAUUCUCUCAUUUCUCCAUCUUCUUCCUCUUCUUCCACACCUCUGAUGUACAACACAUUAUUGCACCUUAUCAAAACUUCCCCCAGGUGUCCAGACAGCGCACCAUCGAUAUACUCUUCUGUGUUCGCAAGCUGCAUAUUCAUGUAGCCGUCGACGGAGACGAGGUAGCCCUUGUACUCCAUCCCCCACUUCAGCUUCACCAUCACCGGUUUCCCCGUCAGCCCGUUGAGGAAGGGCUUUGGGUUGAGGGGCAGGCUCAUGGCGACGGGGCGCGCGGCGGCGGCCCGAGAAACGCAGGCCCACGCGGGAACACCUCGUGCGCGCCGCGGGCUGCGAGAGAAUGGAAGGCAGCGCAGCGCCGGCUUCCACUUCCGGAGCGCCG